rnacentral:rRNA from 1 species
UACGUAGGGUGCAAGCGUUAAUCGGAAUUACUGGGCGUAAAGCGUGCGCAGGCGGUUAUGUAAGACAGAUGUGAAAUCCCCGGGCUCAACCUGGGAACUGCAUUUGUGACUGCAUAGCUAGAGUACGGUAGAGGGGGAUGGAAUUCCGCGUGUAGCAGCGAAAUGCGUAGAUAUGCGGAGGAACACCGAUGGCGAAGGCAAUCCCCUGGACCUGUACUGACGCUCAUGCACGAAAGCGUGGGGAGCAAACAGG